AUGAACGCUAGCGGGAGGCCUAACACAUGCAAGCCGAGCGGUAGAAAGUAGCUUGCUACUUUUGAGAGCGGCGUACGGGUGCGUAACACGUGUGCAACCUGCCUUUAUCUGGAGAAUAGCCUUUCGAAAGGAAGAUUAAUGCUCCAUAACAUAUUGAAUGGCAUCAUUUAAUAUUGAAAGCUCCGGCGGAUAGAGAUGGGCACGCGCAAGAUUAGUUAGUUGGUGAGGUAACGGCUCACCAAGGCGAUGAUCUUUAGGGGGCCUGAGAGGGUGAUCCCCCACACUGGUACUGAGACACGGACCAGACUCCUACGGGAGGCAGCAGUGAGGAAUAUUGGACAAUGGGUGAAAGCCUGAUCCAGCCAUCCCGCGUGAAGGAUGACGGCCCUAUGGGUUGUAAACUUCUUUUGUAUAGGGAUAAACCUACCCUCGUGAGGGUAGCUGAAGGUACUAUACGAAUAAGCACCGGCUAACUCCGUGCCAGCAGCCGCCGUAACAC
rnacentral:rRNA from 1 species